rnacentral:rRNA from 1 species
UGGGGAAUAUUGCACAAUGGGCGAAAGCCUGAUGCAGCAACGCCGCGUGAGUGAUGAAGGUCUUCGGAUUGUAAAGCUCUGUCUUUUGGGACGAUAAUGACGGUACCAAAGGAGGAAGCCACGGCUAACUACGUGCCAGCAGCCGCGGUAAUACGUAGGUGGCGAGCGUUGUCCGGAUUUACUGGGCGUAAAGGGUGCGUAGGCGGAUGUUUAAGUGAGAUGUGAAAUACCCGGGCUUAACUUGGGUGCUGCAUUUCAAACUGGAUAUCUAGAGUGCAGGAGAGGAGAAUGGAAUUCCUAGUGUAGCGGUGAAAUGCGUAGAGAUUAGGAAGAACACCAGUGGCGAAGGCGAUUCUCUGGACUGUAACUGACGCUGAGGCACGAAAGCGUGGGUAGCAAACAGGAUUAGAUACCCUGGUAGUCCACGCCGUAAACGAUGAGUACUAGGUGUAGGAGGUAUCGACCCCUUCUNUGCCGCAGUAAACACAUUAAGUACUCCGCCUGGGAAGUACGAUCGCAAGAUUAAAACUCUAAAGUGAAUUGACGGGGUC